GCAUUCAUUUUGGCAGCACAUACACUUAAAUUGGAAUGAUACAAAGAUUAGGAUGGCCCCUGCACAAGGAUGGCAUGCAAAUUCAUGAAGCAUUCCAUAUUUUG
rnacentral:snRNA from 1 species